CCUACGGGUGGCAGCAGUGGGGAAUAUUGCACAAUGGGGGGAACCCUGAUGCAGCGACGCCGCGUGAGUGAAGACGUAUUUCGGUAUGUAAAGCUCUAUCAGCAGGGCAGAAAAUGACGGUACCUGUCUAAGCAGCCCCGGCUAACUACGUGCCAGCAGCCGCGGUAAUCCGUCGGGGGCACGCGUUAUCCGGAUUUACUGGGGGUAAAGGGAGCGUAGACGGUUAUGCAAGUCUGAAGUGAAAGCCGAGGGCUCAACCAUGGGACUGCUAUGGACACUGGAAAACUGGAGUGCAGGAGAGGUAAGCGGAAUGCGUAGUGUAGCGGUGAAAUGCGUAGAUAUUAGGAGGAACACCAGUUGCGAAGGCAGCUUACUGGACUGUAACUGACGUUGAGGCUCGAAGGCGUGGGGAGCAAACAGGAUUAGAUACCCUUGUAGUC
rnacentral:rRNA from 1 species